rnacentral:misc_RNA from 1 species
GUCCUGGCCGAGCGAGAAGUGAGGCAUCUCGAUGGGGCUGGUGAAGUUGAAGGGCUGCGCCGGAACCAGGCCGAACGGAGGCGCGCUGCCGAACUUGGCGGCGGCAGGGCCAGAAAAGGCGUGCGUCGACAGCCCGUGCGCACCUUUCCCGUUGUGCGCAAUGCCGACGCAGCCGGCGGCGGCCGCGGAGACGUUGGGCUGGUGAUGCCAGGACUGCCUGUGCUCGGCGGCGCUAAUGGCGCCGGCCGACGCCACCCCGGUGAGCAGCUCGGUGAAGGACGCGGCCUGCGCCGAGGUGCUGGCCACGGUGACCUCCCUGUCCCGGGCGGAGGCGCCCCCGCGGCUGUCGGAGCGCGAGAGCGAGAGCUCGGAUCCCUUGCUCGUCUCCGACGUGCUGCUGCCCGCGGACUUGCUCCCCUGCUGCUGCUUGUCCUUGCCGGCGGCAUCCGCGUCGCCCGGCGCGGGGAGGGCGGCGAAGGCGGCCGGGUCGAGCUCCGGGAGCUUGUCGAUGGCGGCGGCGGCGGCGUUGAUGAGCCAUUCGAUGGCCUUGCUGGGCUGGUCGAAGCCGAGGCGGUCCUGCAGGUCGUAGAACUGGAUGGCGGUUGGCACCGACAGGCGCACGCGGCGGUCGCGGAUGCCCUUGGCCGUGUACACCUUGCUGUGCCGGUCCUUGCCCCCGCUAGCCCGCACGCGGUAGAUCCGGGACCCCGCCCCCGGGCCCAGCGGCGGCGGCGGCGGCGGCGGCUGGCCCCACGCCGCCUCCGCCUCGCUGCCCCUCACGGCGCCGCCGCGGCCGCGCUUGGAGCCCUGCUGCUGGGAGCGGCCGGGCGCGCCGGCGCCCACGGCUGCUGCCUCCAUCCCCCUAGUGGCGCCGCCCGCAGCCGCAGGCGCUGCUCAUACGCUGGCUGCUGGCGCGGCGGGAGAUAGCCGUGAGGAGGAAUGCAGCGCUUUUAUGGGGUGGAAGUGGAAGAUGGAGCUCCAGGCAGGCGCGUGGGCUUUGGCGCCUGGCGGUGUAGCUGCUGGAAUGAGGCAACGGCUGGUGCUCCCCGGCGUGCUUGGCGGUCGAGCGCGCCGGCCGCGUCCGUCCGUCGGGGCCCCGGCUGCUGUGCUGCUGCUCGAGCUCUUCGCACGGUCUUAUCCCUACGCUGCCCUGCCACGCCUGCCUAAUCGCCCGCCCGUGCUCCUACCCCCGUGCAACAUUUUCCCGGCUCCCGCGCGCGCUGCCACACUGGGCGCGCGGCGGGCGCUCGUUGCCUCCGUCGGUCUCUCUCUCUCUCUCUCCUCGCGCCCGGGGCGCUGCGGAAGUGCGGAGCGGCAGAAGCUGCUUCGUGGUGCCCGGUGCAGCGGUACUGCUGUGCUGCUGCGGGCAGGGGCAGAGCCGCAGCGCGGGUAGCG